rnacentral:rRNA from 1 species
GACGAACGCUGGCGGCGUGCUUAACACAUGCAAGUCGAACGGAAAGGCCCUGCUUUUGUGGGGUGCUCGAGUGGCGAACGGGUGAGUAACACGUGAGUAACCUGCCCUUGACUUUGGGAUAACUUCAGGAAACUGGGGCUAAUACCGGAUAGGAGCUCCUGCUGCAUGGUGGGGGUUGGAAAGUUUCGGCGGUUGGGGAUGGACUCGCGGCUUAUCAGCUUGUUGGUGGGGGAGUGGCUUACCAAGGCUUUGACGGGUAGCCGGCCUGGGAGGGUGGCCGGCCACAUUGGGCCUGAGAGACGGCCCAGACUCCUACGGGAGGCAGCAGUGGGGAAUAUUGCACAAUGGGCGGAAGCCUGAUGCAGCAACGCCGCGUGCGGGAUGACGGCCUUCGGGUUGUAAACCGCUUUCGCCUGUGACGAAGCGUGAGUGACGGUAAUGGGUAAAGAAGCACCGGCUAACUACGUG